rnacentral:lncRNA from 10 species
GAUUAAAUCAACAGACCUUGGUGAGGAUUAGAUAUGGAGGUGAGGGAGAUGGACUAGGCUACUAGCUUUCCCAGAACCAUAUUCUGAGAAAGUUUUCAUUGGAAAGUGAUCAGACUGAAGAGGAAAAUGAGUUUUGUUUUGGACAUGUUGUGUUAGAGGUUCCUUUAAAGCCUCACUUGGGCGUCUCAAGUGGAGGUAUUUGUAUGUAAAUACGCGGGUCUGGAAUUCAAGAGAGAUCUGAAUUGGAGAAAAAAAUUCAGGAUCGAGGCCAUCAAGCUACAGAUGGUCUUACAAAUAGAACCCCAAAUGAGCUCAACUAACAACUUCUAUCAAGGACCGCUGGACCGAUCCACUGGCCCUUUGGCCUAAAGCAUUCCCCUCUGGAGGACACUACAACUGCAGGGCCCCUUCUUUGCCCCUAUCCAGCAGGAAGUAGCUAGAACGGUCAUCGCCCAAUUCCCAACAGUAGUUGGGGUAUCCUGUUUAAAGGGGGGAUUGAGAGGUGAAGCCAGCUGGGCUUCUGGGUCGGGUGGGGACUUGGAGAACUUUUCUGUCUAGCUACAGGAUUGUAAACACACCAGUCAGUGCUCUGUGUCUAGCUAAAGGUUUGUAAAUGCACCAAUCAGCACUAUGUAAAAACGCACCUAUCAGCACUCUGUGUCUAGCUAAAGAUUUGUAAAUGCACCAAUCAGCACUCUCUAAAAAUGGACCAAUCAGCACGCCAUAAAAUGGACCAAUUAGCACUCUGUAGAAUGGACUGAUCAGCAGGAUGUGGGUGGGGCCAAAUAAGGGACUAAAAGCUGCCACCCAAGAUGGCAGCCGCAACCCACUCGGGUCCCCUUCCACACUGUGGAAGCUUUGUUCUUUCACUCUUCACAAUAA